rnacentral:rRNA from 1 species
CACGUAGGGGGCGAGCGUUGUCCGGAAUCAUUGGGCGUAAAGAGCUCGUAGGCGGCUCAGUAAGUCGAGUGUGAAACCCCCAGGCUCAACCUGGGGACGCCACUCGAUACUGCUGUGGCUAGAGUCCAGUAGAGGAGUGUGGAAUUCCCGGUGUAGUGGUGGAAUGCGUAGAUAUCGGGAGGAACACCAGUGGCGAAGGCGGUUGCCUGGAGCUUUGCUGACGCUGAGGCGCGAAAGCGUGGGGAGCGAGUCCGG